rnacentral:snoRNA from 1 species
UGAUCGAUGAUGACACCCCGAAUAACAUCCCUUGGAAAAGCUGAACAAAGUCACCAUGCCAGAGCCACCGUGUUACAGAUAGUACGGGGUAA